ACUGACCAACACGGGAGUCCCGGGAGCGGGGCUGAGAGUGGGCACACCCAUCAGGACCUGCCCUUACCGUUCGACCUGAUCCGGAUCAUGCCGGCGAAGGGAGCGAAGGAUGCCGAACU
rnacentral:ncRNA from 1 species